AGAGUUUGAUCAUGGCUCAGAAUCAACGCUGGCGGCGUGCCUAACACAUGCAAGUCGAACGCGAAAGUGGAGCAAUCCAUGAGUAGAGUGGCAAACGGGUGAGUAACGCGUGGGUGACCUGCCUUCGAGUGGGGGAUAACGCUCCGAAAGGGACGCUAAUACCGCAUAACAUCCUGCCUUUUAAGAGGUGGAAAUCAAAGCCUGGGACCGCAAGGCCAGGCGCUUGAAGAGGGGCCCGCGUCUGAUUAGCUAGUUGGUGGGGUAAUGGCUCACCAAGGCUUCGAUCAGUAUCCGGCCUGAGAGGGCGGACGGACACACUGGGACUGAGACACGGCCCAGACUCCUACGGGAGGCAGCAGUGGGGAAUUGUUCGCAAUGGGCGCAAGCCUGACGACGCAACGCCGCGUGGAGGAUGAAGAUCUUCGGGUCGUAAACUCCUUUCGAUCGAGACGAACGGCUUCCGGGUAAUAUCCGGGAGAGUGACGGUACCGAGAGAAGAAGCCCCGGCUAACUCCGUGCCAGCAGCCGCGGUAAUACGGGGGGGGCAAGCGUUGUUUCGGAAUUACUGGGCGUAAAGGGCUCGUAGGUGGCCAACUAAGUCAGACGUGAAAUCCCUCGGCUUAACCGGGGAACUGCGUUCUGAUACUGGAUGGCUUGAGUUUGGGAGGAGGGGACGCGGAAUUCCAGGUGUAGCGGUGAAAUGCGUAGAUAUCUGGAGGAACACCGGUGGCGAAGGCGGCGUCCUGGACCAAACACUGACACUGAUGAGCGAAAAGCCAGGGGAGAGGCAAACAGGAAUUAGAUACCCCGGUAGUCC
rnacentral:rRNA from 1 species